GGGCGGAUGGUUUAGUGGUAUAAUACUCCCUUAGCAUGGGAGUGGUCCGGGGUUCGAUUCCCCGUCUGUCCA
rnacentral:tRNA from 5 species